GUGGGGCAAAAUGGGGGUGACACGAGGUGCUCAGACUGGAGGUAGAUUUUGAAAAUACAGACUUCAGAACUUGCUUGGCUCUUUUUCUUUUCUUUUAAAGUUUAUUUAUUUAUUUUGAGAGAGACAGAGACAGUGCAAACAGAGGAAGGGCAGAGAGAGAAUGAGAGAGAGAGAACCCCGAGCAGGCUCCUCACUGCCAGCACAGAGCCCAAUGUGGAAUUCAAACUCACAAACUGUGAACCAAUCUCAUGACCUGAGCUGAAAUCGAGAGUCUGACGCUUAACUGACUGCGCCACCCAGGCGCCCCUCAGAGGCCAGUUUUAAAGGUUCUUUUCUCCGUCUCUUUCCUCGGGACCCGUGAAUCCUACUGUUUUGCCUAAUAAGUGCCCACCUUGGAAAACUGACGUGGUGGUGGGUGAAUGGCAGGAGAAAACGGGAGGCUGGCUGGCUUGACGGGAGUGUAAAAAUAAGCUGACAACGGAGUGGCACAGCUUUACGGCUUCUUACCGGGCUGCUCUGACCCAGGAUGUGGGGCAAUGAGGUAGAACUACCAGCUACAGUUGGGUUUGGGAUCAUCUGAACUUCUAUUAUGCAUUUACUGCCUGUCCUCCACUAACAAAAACGAUGGAGGUUUGGCUAUGGAGUCAGCUUCCAGGCUUACAGAUCGGGACAACGCCUUCUGGAGGUGAGGACACAAAUCUCCUUUGAUCUCUUUCCAGGCUCUCUCCAUUAACUGUAGCUUCUCCCCAUUUUGAGGAGAGGAUCGUUGAACUGGAAGUGGCGGCCUGUUGCUGUUUGCAGCCUUUCUGCAUCUCCAAGAGAUAAAGGAAGACUCCUUGUAACAUUCCAUCAGAGGCUGGCUGGCUGUUUGUUGAAGACCAUAUUUCAGAGCAGAUGGUGGAAACACCAAUUAGGAGUCCUUAGGAGAGCAUUGGGCCUGACCAAAAGUUGCAGAGUAAGUGCUGAAAGAAGAGGAACUGAGGGGUCAGGGGGUGUAGAG
rnacentral:lncRNA from 1 species